ensembl:snoRNA
AUACUUUUAUACCUCCUAGAUGUGACUACUGGGAGUUCAUGCUAUGCUUGUGUGAGCUGUACUACCCUCAAAGCUUAUCACAACACUGGCACAUGACCUGUCUGAUG